UUAGCUCAGUUGGUAGAGCAUCUGACUUUUAAUCAGAGGGUCGCUGGUUCGAACCCAGCA
rnacentral:tRNA from 1 species